CCCCUCUCAGGGUCACAGCUGGAGAGUUUCCAGUACUCUACCAGUCUCGACUACGGGAGGGAGAGUCAAGCAGAGGCAUAUCCAUUCCAUUCCUAGUUUGGGCUAGCGAGUGGAAGGCAAUAUGCUACAAGU